rnacentral:rRNA from 1 species
UGGGAAUUUUGGACAAUGGGCGCAAGCCUGAUCCAGCAAUGCCGCGUGCAGGAUGAAGGCCUUCGGGUUGUAAACUGCUUUUGUACGGAACGAAAAGCCUCUCUCUAAUACAGGGGGUGAUGACGGUACCGUAAGAAUAAGCACCGGCUAACUACGUGCCAGCAGCCGCGGUAAUACGUAGGGUGCAAGCGUUAAUCGGAAUUACUGGGCGUAAAGCGUGCGCAGGCGGUUUUGUAAGACAGUGGUGAAAUCCCGGGCUCAACCUGGGAACUGCCAUUGUGACUGCAAGGCUGGAGUGCGGCAGAGGGGGAUGGAAUUCCGCGUGUAGCAGUGAAAUGCGUAGAUAUGCGGAGGAACACCGAUGGCGAAGGCAAUCCCCUGGGCCUGCACUGACGCUCAUGCACGAAAGCGUGGGGAGCAAAACAGGAUUAGAUACCCUGGUAGUCCACGCCCUAAACGAUGUCAACUGGUUGUUGGGGAUUUAUUUCUUCAGUAACGAAGCUAACGCGUAAGUUGACCGCCUGGGGGAGUACGGCCGCAAGGUUAAAAACUCAAAAUGAAUUGACGGGGUCAUAGCUGUUUCCU